rnacentral:rRNA from 1 species
GAUGAACGCUAGCGGCAGGCCUAAUACAUGCAAGUCGAACGGGAUCCAGAUCAAAGCUUGCUUUGGUUUGGUGAGAGUGGCGUACGGGUGCGUAACGCGUGAGCAACCUACCCUUGUCAGGGGGAUAGCCCGGCGAAAGUCGGAUUAAUACCGCAUGACAUCAUUGAGAGGCAUCUUUCGAUGAUCAAAGAUUUAUCGGACAAGGAUGGGCUCGCGUGACAUUAGCUAGUUGGUAAGGUAACGGCUUACCAAGGCUACGAUGUCUAGGGGCUCUGAGAGGAGAAUCCCCCACACUGGUACUGAGACACGGACCAGACUCCUACGGGAGGCAGCAGUAAGGAAUAUUGGUCAAUGGACGGAAGUCUGAACCAGCCAUGCCGCGUGCAGGAAGACGGCACUAUGGGUUGUAAACUGCUUUUAUACGGGAACAAACGUCGGUACGUGUACCGGUCUGAGUGUACCGUAAGAAUAAGGAUCGGCUAACUCCGUG